rnacentral:rRNA from 2 species
GACGAACGCUGGCGGCGUGCCUAAUACAUGCAAGUUGAGCGCUGAAGGUUGGUACUUGUACCAACUGGAUGAGCAGCGAACGGGUGAGUAACGCGUGGGGAAUCUGCCUUUGAGCGGGGGACAACAUUUGGAAACGAAUGCUAAUACCGCAUAAAAACUUUAAACACAAGUUUUAAGUUUGAAAGAUGCAAUUGCAUCACUCAAAGAUGAUCCCGCGUUGUAUUAGCUAGUUGGUGAGGUAAAGGCUCACCAAGGCGAUGAUACAUAGCCGACCUGAGAGGGUGAUCGGCCACAUUGGGACUGAGACACGGCCCAAACUCCUACGGGAGGCAGCAGUAGGGAAUCUUCGGCAAUGGACGAAAGUCUGACCGAGCAACGCCGCGUGAGUGAAGAAGGUUUUCGGAUCGUAAAACUCUGUUGGUAGAGAAGAACGUUGGUGAGA